rnacentral:piRNA from 1 species
ACUUACAUUAACUACCCCACUGCCUGA